rnacentral:lncRNA from 1 species
CUCUCCUGGUAAAACAUAGCAAUAAAACGGACCUUAUUCUUUGGGUUGAUCUGUGUUUUGAUAUAUGCCAGUCCUUAUCCCUCUGGGUGGACGAUGCAUAAGGUAAACUGUUUGCAUUUUCAGUCGAGCUUGGCUUUAUAGCUCUGUGUGUAUCUAAGUCUAUGCUGUAUUACUGAGCACCUUUACUAUAAAAUCAUCUCUGACCAGAUCCAAGAUUUUAAUUUGUCUCUAGAGCUUGCCUCUCUCAAUUUCAUAAACCGUGCAAACACAGCUGGAGCAAUUUACAGGCUGUGGAAAAAGUCUUGAGUAUUUUUGCUGAAGUACUAAUUCAGGGAUCAUGCUUUGUUAUUUCCUGUUUCAUUGUUGUUUGUAAAAGUAGUGAAUGGCCAAUGGCCUGUUUCAGAUUUGCCUGGCCCCUCAACACUAUUGCGGGCACCUCCUGUUGGGGCAUGGCAUGAAUUGGGUGCAGCAUGACGGCAAAAUGGCGUUGGAUUCGAGAAGGAAUUCAAGGACACGUCGCUGAGAAUGAAAUCGGAGCAGCACUUUGGAAAGAAGGUAGGUUGAGAAAGCAGUUUGUCAAGCUGCCCCAUUGGAGCUUAAAUGGACUUAUCUAUUGAAAAAUACUCAGUAAAAAUUGAAAAGUGCUUCUCAUUACAUUCAUCUGAGCCCCCCAAGAUCACUGCAUGUAACUGUCUAGUGUAAAAUUAUGGGCACGGUCACGUAACCACCUCUGGCCGCAGACUCAACUUUCCGCAUC